GGGCCGUUAGCUCAAUUGGUAGAGCAGCUGACUCUUAAUCAGUAGGUUGUAGGUUCGAGUCCUACACGGCCCACCA
rnacentral:tRNA from 1 species